rnacentral:rRNA from 1 species
AGUGAACGCUGGCGGUAGGCCUAACACAUGCAAGUCGAACGGCAGCACAGUAAGAGCUUGCUCUUACGGGUGGCGAGUGGCGGACGGGUGAGGAAUACCUCGGAAUCUACUUUUUCGUGGGGGAUAACGUAGGGAAACUUACGCUAAUACCGCAUACGACCUACGGUUGAAAGCAGUGGAUCUUCGGACCUUGCGCGAUUGAAUGAGCCGAUGUCGGAUUAGCUAGUUGGCGGGGUAAAGGCCCACCAAGGCGACGAUCCGUAGCUGGUCUGAGAGGAUGAUCAGCCACACUGGAACUGAGACACGGUCCAGACUCCUACGGGAGGCAGCAGUGGGGAAUAUUGGACAAUGGGCGCAAGCCUGAUCCAGCCAUACCGCGUGGGUGAAGAAGGCCUUCGUGUUGUAAAGCCGUUUUGUUGGGAAAGAAAAGCAGCAGGUUAAUACCCCGCUGUUCUGACGGUACCCAAAGAAUAAGCACCGGCUAACUUCGUG